rnacentral:rRNA from 1 species
GAAGUAAAAGUCGUAACAAGGUCUCCGUUGGUGAACCAGCGGAGGGAUCAUUACUGAGUUUACGCUCUACAACCCUUUGUGAACAUACCUACAACUGUUGCUUCGGCGGGUAGGGUCUCCGCGACCCUCCCGGCCUCCCGCCUCCGGGCGGGUCGGCGCCCGCCGGAGGAUAACCAAACUCUGAUUUAACGACGUUUCUUCUGAGUGGUACAAGCAAAUAAUCAAAACUUUUAACAACGGAUCUCUUGGUUCUGGCAUCGAUGAAGAACGCAGCGAAAUGCGAUAAGUAAUGUGAAUUGCAGAAUUCAGUGAAUCAUCGAAUCUUUGAACGCACAUUGCGCCCGCCAGCAUUCUGGCGGGCAUGCCUGUUCGAGCGUCAUUUCAACCCUCAAGCUCUGCUUGGUGUUGGGGCCCUACAGCCGAUGUAGGCCCUCAAAGGUAGUGGCGGACCCUCCCGGAGCCUCCUUUGCGUAGUAACUUUACGUCUCGCACUGGGAUCCGGAGGGACUCUUGCCGUAAAACCCCCCAAUUUUCCAAAGGUUGACCUCGGAUCAGGUAGGAAUACCCGCUGAACUUAAGCAUAUC